UGACGACCCGCACAAAUGACGACGCCCAAUGUCCAUUGACAUCGCUUUGUGGUCGACAGAAUUGCCAACGUUGUCGCUGCUCAACAUUAAAAUUAAUUACCACAAAUGGACAAGUCUCAUUACAGCGCGUUUCUUUUUGGCGUGCUAUGUACAUGGCUAUUAGAUGACUGUUCUCCCCACUGUGACUGGCACUCGAAUGAGAAUAAGAACUAUACACAAAAGUUGCAAAAGUAAAUCAUUAAUUUUUUCUUGUGGAAUGACCUACAUGCAACUUUGUGAGGCAUGUGAGUAUGCUGGGAGAUGAGCUGUGUGGACAAAGGAAAAUGGACAUGGACAUGGAACUCUGAAGCGUUUUAUGUUAAAAGAGUUUUUCUAUAGAAAAUGUUUGACAAUAUAUAUGUACAAAAAUGUGUACAAACUAUUUUUAAA